rnacentral:rRNA from 1 species
AGUAGUUUGAUCAUGGCUCAGAGCGAACGCUGGCGGCAGGCUUAACACAUGCAAGUCGAACGGGCGUAGCAAUACGUCAGUGGCGGACGGGUGAGUAACGCGUGGGAACAUACCUUUUGGUUCGGGAUAACCGCGGGAAACUGCGGCUAAUACCGAAUGCCCUCGAGAGAGGAAAGAUUUAUCGCCAGAAGAGGAGCCCGCGUCCGAUUAGAUAGUUGGUGGGUAAAGGCCUACCAAGCCGACGAUCGGUAGCUGGUCUGAGAGGAUGAUCAGCCACACUGGGACUGAGAUACGGCUCAGACUCCUACGGGAGGCAGCAGUGGGAAUAUUGGACAAUGGGGGCAACCCUGAUCCAGCAAUGCCGCGUGAGUGAUGAAGGCCUUAGGGUUGUAAAGCUCUUUUGCCAGGGAAGAUGAUGACUGUACCUGGAGAAUAAGCCCCGGCUAACUUCGUG